UUGAACGCUGGCGGCAUGCUUUACACAUGCAAGUCGAACGGUAACAGGGAGCUUGCUCCGCUGACGAGUGGCGAACGGGUGAGUAAUGCAUCGGAACGUACCCAGUCGUGGGGGAUAACGUAGCGAAAGUUACGCUAAUACCGCAUACGUCCUGAGGGAGAAAGCGGGGGACCGUAAGGCCUCGCGCGAUUGGAGCGGCCGAUGUCGGAUUAGCUAGUUGGUGGGGUAAAGGCCUACCAAGGCGACGAUCCGUAGCGGGUCUGAGCGGAUGAUCCGCCACACUGGGACUGCGACACGGCCCAGACUCCUACGGGAGGCAGCAGUGGGGAAUUUUGGACAAUGGGCGCAAGCCUGAUCCAGCCAUGCCGCGUGAGUGAAGCAGGCCUUCGGGUUGUAAAGCUCUUUCGGCGGGGAAGAAAUCGCACUGGUUAAUACCUGGUGUGGAUGCCGGUACCCGAAUAAGAAGCACCGGCUACCUACGU
rnacentral:rRNA from 1 species